UACGGAGGAUCCGAGCGUUAUCCGGAUUUAUUGGGUUUAAAGGGAGCGUAGGUAGAUUGUUAAGUCAGUUGUGAAAGUUUGCGGCUCAACCGUAAAAUUGCAGUUGAAACUGGCAGUCUUGAGUACAGUAGAGGUGGGCGGAAUUCGUGGUGUAGCGGUGAAAUGCUUAGAUAUCACGAAGAACUCCGAUUGCGAAGGCAGCUCACUAGACUGUUACUGACACUGAUGCUCGAAAGUGUGGGUAUCAAACAGG
rnacentral:rRNA from 1 species